CCUACGGGGAGCAGCAGUCGAGAAUCAUUCACAAUGGGGGAAACCCUGAUGGUGCGACGCCGCGUGGGGGAAUGAAGGUCUUCGGAUUGUAAACCCCUGUCAUGUGGGAGCAAAUUAAAAAGAUAGUACCACAAGAGGAAGAGACGGCUAACUCUGUGCCAGCAGCCGCGGUAAUACAGAGGUCUCAAGCGUUGUUCGGAAUCACUGGGCGUAAGGCGUGCGUAGGCUGUUUCGUAAGUCGUGUGUGAAAGGCGCGGGCUCAACCCGCGGACGGCACAUGAUACUGCGAGACUAGAGUAAUGGAGGGGGAACCGGAAUUCUCGGUGUAGCAGUGAAAUGCGUAGAUAUCGAGAGGAACACUCGUGGCGAAGGCGGGUUCCUGGACAUUAACUGACGCUGAGGCACGAAGGCCAGGGGAGCGAAAGGGAUUAGAUACCCGAGUAGUC
rnacentral:rRNA from 1 species